rnacentral:rRNA from 1 species
AUGUACAAGGCUGCUUACAGUCCCAUAAUCUAUCCAGUACCUGGCCCUGACAUGUGGCCAAGGAUAGACAGUAGGGACAUUGAGCCUCCAGUCUUCAAAGAACACAAAGGCAGAGCACAAACUAAGAGAAGAAAGGGCAGACAUGAGAAGCCAGCUCCAAAAGACACUUCAAGGAUGGCCUCAAUCACUUGUUCUAAUUGCAUUAAAGUUGGCCAUAGGUACACCAACUGCCAUAUUGAUUUGAAACCUGCACUAGCCAUGAGAAAGAACAGGCAUGAUCCAAGCAGCUCUUCUUACCCACCUGAUGCUGCUACUUCUGCCUCAUCUGCUGCACGAGCAAGAAGGGUUGCAUCUACUGCCACUGCACCAGCACCAGCAAGGAGGACUCCAUCUUCUGCCACUGCACCAACACCCGCAAGAAGAACUCCAUCUUCUACCACUGCACCAGCACUAGCAAAGAGGACUACAUCUUCUGCCACUGCACCAGCACCAGCAAAGAGGACUCCAUCUUCUGCCACUCCACCAUCAACAAGAUCUGCUACUACUGCUGCAAAGGGUAAGGCUCCAGCUACUAGGGCUUCAACUGCUGCAAAGGGAGCAAUGGCAGCUUUCUUGCUCCAAGACCAAACAGUGGUUCCCAGAGAGUCAGAAAGCCAACCCAGAAGAUCAAGGACUCCCUGA